rnacentral:rRNA from 2 species
GGGUUGUGAGGUUAAGCGACUAAGCGUACACGGUGGAUGCCCUGGCAGUCAGAGGCGAUGAAGGACGUGCUAAUCUGCGAUAAGCGCCGGUAAGGUGAUAUGAACCGUUAUAACCGGCGAUUUCCGAAUGGGGAAACCCAGUGUGAUUCGUCACACUAUCAUUAACUGAAUCCAUAGGUUAAUGAGGCGAACCGGGGGAACUGAAACAUCUAAGUACCCCGAGGAAAAGAAAUCAACCGAGAUUCCCCCAGUAGCGGCGAGCGAACGGGGAGGAGCCCAGAGCCUGAAUCAGCAUGUGUGUUAGUGGAAGCGUCUGGAAAGGCGCGCGAUACAGGGUGACAGCCCCGUACACAAAAGCGCAUGUGCUGUGAGCUCGAUGAGUAGGGCGGGACACGUGGUAUCCUGUCUGAAUAUGGGGGGACCAUCCUCCAAGGCUAAAUACUCCUGACUGACCGAUAGUGAACCAGUACCGUGAGGGAAAGGCGAAAAGAACCCCGGCGAGGGGAGUGAAAAAGAACCUGAAACCGUGUACGUACAAGCAGUGGGAGCACCCUUCGGGGUGUGACUGCGUACCUUUUGUAUAAUGGGUCAGCGACUUAUAUUCUGUAGCAAGGUUAACCGUAUAGGGGAGCCGGAGGGAAACCGAGUCUUAAUUGGGCGUUAAGUUGCAGGGUAUAGACCCGAAACCCGGUGAUCUAGCCAUGGGCAGGUUGAAGGUUGGGUAACACUAACUGGAGGACCGAACCGACUAAUGUUGAAAAAUUAGCGGAUGACCUGUGGCUGGGGGUGAAAGGCCAAUCAAACCGGGAGAUAGCUGGUUCUCCCCGAAAGCUAUUUAGGUAGCGCCUCGUGAAUUCAUCUCCGGGGGUAGAGCACUGUUUCGGCUAGGGGGCCAUCCCGGCUUACCAACCCGAUGCAAACUGCGAAUACCGGAGAAUGUUAUCACGGGAGACACACGGCGGGUGCUAACGUCCGUCGUGAAGAGGGAAACAACCCAGACCGCCAGCUAAGGUCCCAAAGUCAUGGUUAAGUGGGAAACGAUGUGGGAAGGCCCAGACAGCCAGGAUGUUGGCUUAGAAGCAGCCAUCAUUUAAAGAAAGCGUAAUAGCUCACUGGUCGAGUCGGCCUGCGCGGAAGAUGUAACGGGGCUAAACCAUGCACCGAAGCUGCGGCAGCGAACGUAUCACCCAAGACAACUUUACGGAGUUGACGAUUGACGGAGCGAAGCGACGUCAAAGCGUUCAUUAAAGUCGAGUUGGCUUAGGGAUACGUUCGUUGGGUAGGGGAGCGUUCUGUAAGCCUGUGAAGGUGUGUCGUGAGGCAUGCUGGAGGUAUCAGAAGUGCGAAUGCUGACAUAAGUAACGAUAAAGCGGGUGAAAAGCCCGCUCGCCGGAAGACCAAGGGUUCCUGUCCAACGUUAAUCGGGGCAGGGUGAGUCGACCCCUAAGGCGAGGCCGAAAGGCGUAGUCGAUGGGAAACGGGUUAAUAUUCCCGUACUUGGUGUUACUGCGAAGGGGGGACGGAGAAGGCUAUGUUGGCCGGGCGACGGUUGUCCCGGUUUAAGCGUGUAGGUGUGUGUUCCAGGUAAAUCCGGUUCACUUUAACACUGAGGCGUGACGACGAGGCACUACGGUGCUGAAGCAACAAAUGCCCUGCUUCCAGGAAAAGCCUCUAAGCAUCAGGUAACAUCAAAUCGUACCCCAAACCGACACAGGUGGUCAGGUAGAGAAUACCAAGGCGCUUGAGAGAACUCGGGUGAAGGAACUAGGCAAAAUGGUGCCGUAACUUCGGGAGAAGGCACGCUGACACGUAGGUGAAGUGAUUUACUCAUGGAGCUGAAGUCAGUCGAAGAUACCAGCUGGCUGCAACUGUUUAUUAAAAACACAGCACUGUGCAAACACGAAAGUGGACGUAUACGGUGUGACGCCUGCCCGGUGCCGGAAGGUUAAUUGAUGGGGUCAGCGUAAGCGAAGCUCCUGAUCGAAGCCCCGGUAAACGGCGGCCGUAACUAUAACGGUCCUAAGGUAGCGAAAUUCCUUGUCGGGUAAGUUCCGACCUGCACGAAUGGCGUAAUGAUGGCCAGGCUGUCUCCACCCGAGACUCAGUGAAAUUGAACUCGCUGUGAAGAUGCAGUGUACCCGCGGCAAGACGGAAAGACCCCGUGAACCUUUACUAUAGCUUGACACUGAACAUUGAGCCUUGAUGUGUAGGAUAGGUGGGAGGCUUUGAAGUGUGGACGCCAGUCUGCAUGGAGCCGACCUUGAAAUACCACCCUUUAAUGUUUGAUGUUCUAACGUGGACCCGUAAUCCGGGUUGCGGACAGUGUCUGGUGGGUAGUUUGACUGGGGCGGUCUCCUCCUAAAGAGUAACGGAGGAGCACGAAGGUUGGCUAAUCCUGGUCGGACAUCAGGAGGUUAGUGCAAUGGCAUAAGCCAGCUUGACUGCGAGCGUGACGGCGCGAGCAGGUGCGAAAGCAGGUCAUAGUGAUCCGGUGGUUCUGAAUGGAAGGGCCAUCGCUCAACGGAUAAAAGGUACUCCGGGGAUAACAGGCUGAUACCGCCCAAGAGUUCAUAUCGACGGCGGUGUUUGGCACCUCGAUGUCGGCUCAUCACAUCCUGGGGCUGAAGUAGGUCCCAAGGGUAUGGCUGUUCGCCAUUUAAAGUGGUACGCGAGCUGGGUUUAGAACGUCGUGAGACAGUUCGGUCCCUAUCUGCCGUGGGCGCUGGAGAACUGAGGGGGGCUGCUCCUAGUACGAGAGGACCGGAGUGGACGCAUCACUGGUGUUCGGGUUGUCAUGCCAAUGGCACUGCCCGGUAGCUAAAUGCGGAAGAGAUAAGUGCUGAAAGCAUCUAAGCACGAAACUUGCCCCGAGAUGAGUUCUCCCUGAGACUUAGAGUCUCCUGAAGGAACGUUGAAGACGACGACGUUGAUAGGCCGGGUGUGUAAGCGCAGCGAUGCGUUGAGCUAACCGGUACUAAUGAACCGUGAGGCUUAACCUUACAACGCCGAAG